rnacentral:rRNA from 1 species
UACGAAGGGGGCUAGCGUUGUUCGGAAUUACUGGGCGUAAAGGGCGCGUAGGCGGCCUUGUCAGUCAGGCGUGAAAGCCCCGGGCUCAACCUGGGAACGGCGCUUGGGACGGCGAGGCUGGAGUUCGGGAGAGGAGAGUGGAAUUCCCAGUGUAGAGGUGAAAUUCGUAGAUAUUGGGAAGAACACCGGUGGCGAAGGCGGCUCUCUGGACCGACACUGACGCUGAGGCGCGAAAGCGUGGGGAGCAAACAGG